rnacentral:rRNA from 1 species
AUACGGAGGGGGUUAGCGUUGUUCGGAAUUACUGGGCGUAAAGCGCACGUAGGCGGAUUGGAAAGUAGGGGGUGAAAUCCCAGGGCUCAACCCUGGAACUGCCUCCUAAACUAUCAGUCUAGAGUUCGAGAGAGGUGAGUGGAAUUCCAAGUGUAGAGGUGAAAUUCGUAGAUAUUUGGAGGAACACCAGUGGCGAAGGCGGCUCACUGGCUCGAUACUGACGCUGAGGUGCGAAAGCAUGGGGAGCAAACAGGAUUAGAAACCCUAGUAGUCC